rnacentral:rRNA from 1 species
GAGUGAAGCGGCAACAGCUCAAAUUUGAAAUCUGGCCCCAGGCCCGAGUUGUAAUUUGCAGAGGAUGCUUUUGGCGCGGUGCCUUCCGAGUUCCCUGGAACGGGACGCCACAGAGGGUGAGAGCCCCGUCUGGUCGGACACCAAGCCUUUGUAAAGCUCCUUCGACGAGUCGAGUAGUUUGGGAAUGCUGCUCAAAAUGGGAGGUAUAUGUCUUCUAAAGCUAAAUACCGGCCAGAGACCGAUAGCGCACAAGUAGAGUGAUCGAAAGAUGAAAAGCACUUUGAAAAGAGAGUUAAAUAGCACGUGAAAUUGUUGAAAGGGAAGCGUUCAUGACCAGACUUGGCCCGGUUGAUCAUCCAGCGUUCUCGCUGGUGCACUCUGCCGGUCCAGGCCAGCAUCAGUUCGUCGCGGGGGACAAAGGCUCCGGGAAUGUAGCUCCCUCCGGGGAGUGUUAUAGCCCGCUGCGCAAUACCCUGCGGUGGACUGAGGUCCGCGCUUCGGCAAGGAUGCUGGCGUAAUGGUCAUCAACGACCCGUCUUGAAACACGGACCAAGGAGUCGUCUUCGUAUGCGAGUGUUCGGGUGUCAAACCCCUACGCGUAAUGAAAGUGAACGCAGGUGAGAGCUUCGGCGCAUCAUCGACCGAUCCUGAUGUUCUCGGAUGGAUUUGAGUAAGAGCAUACGGGGCCGGACCCGAAAGAAGGUGAACUAUGCCUGUAUAGGGUGAAGCCAGAGGAAACUCUGGUGGAGGCUCGCAGCGGUUCUGACGUGCAAAUCGAUCGUCAAAUA